rnacentral:rRNA from 1 species
UACGUAGGGGGCAAGCGUUGUCCGGAUUUAUUGGGCGUAAAGAGCGUGUAGGCGGCUAUACAGGUCCGCUGUGAAAACUCGAGGCUCAACCUCGAGACGUCGGUGGAAACCGUAUGGCUAGAGUCCGGAAGAGGAGAGUGGAAUUCCUGGUGUAGCGGUGAAAUGCGCAGAUAUCAGGAAGAACACCCGUGGCGAAGGCGGCUCUCUGGGACGGUACUGACGCUGAGACGCGAAAAGCGUGGGGAGCGAACAGG